AGAGUUUGAUUCUGGCUCAGAACGAACGCUGGCGGCGUGGAUAAGACAUGCAAGUCGAACGAGAGAAUUGCUAGCUUGCUAAUAAUUCUCUAGUGGCGCACGGGUGAGUAACACGUGAGUAACCUGCCCCCGAGAGCGGGAUAGCCCUGGGAAACUGGGAUUAAUACCGCAUAGAAUCGCAAGAUUAAAGCAGCAAUGCGCUUGGGGAUGGGCUCGCGGCCUAUUAGUUAGUUGGUGAGGUAACGGCUCACCAAGGCGAUGACGGGUAGCCGGUCUGAGAGGAUGUCCGGCCACACUGGAACUGAGACACGGUCCAGACACCUACGGGUGGCAGCAGUCGAGAAUCAUUCACAAUGGGGGAAACCCUGAUGGUGCGACGCCGCGUGGGGGAAUGAAGGUCUUCGGAUUGUAAACCCCUGUCAUGUGGGAGCAAAUUAAAAAGAUAGUACCACAAGAGGAAGAGACGGCUAACUCUGUGCCAGCAGCCGCGGUAAUACAGAGGUCUCAAGCGUUGUUCGGAAUCACUGGGCGUAAAGCGUGCGUAGGCUGUUUCGUAAGUCGUGUGUGAAAGGCGCGGGCUCAACCCGCGGACGGCACAUGAUACUGCGAGACUAGAGUAAUGGAGGGGGAACCGGAAUUCUCGGUGUAGCAGUGAAAUGCGUAGAUAUCGAGAGGAACACUCGUGGCGAAGGCGGGUUCCUGGACAUUAACUGACGCUGAGGCACGAAGGCCAGGGGAGCGAAAGGGAUUAGAUACCCCUGUAGUCCUGGCAGUAAACGGUGCACGCUUGGUGUGCGGGGAAUCGACCCCCUGCGUGCCGGAGCUAACGCGUUAAGCGUGCCGCCUGGGGAGUACGGUCGCAAGAUUAAAACUCAAAGGAAUUGACGGGGACCCG
rnacentral:rRNA from 2 species